rnacentral:rRNA from 1 species
UAAGCUACUAAGAGCGAAUGGUGGAUGCCUUGACUGGUAAAGGCGAUGAAGGACGUACUAGACUGCGAUAAGCUACGGGGAGCUGUCAAGAAGCUUUGAUCCGUAGAUUUCCGAAUGGGGCAACCCAAUGUAUAGAGAUAUACAUUACCUAUAUAGGAGCGAACGAGGGGAAUUGAAACAUCUUAGUACCCUCAGGAAAAGAAAUCAAUAGAGAUUGCGUCAGUAGCGGCGAGCGAAAGCGCAAGAGGGCAAACCCAGUGCUUGCACUGGGGGUUGUAGGACUGCAAUGUGCAAGAGGUAAGUUUAGCAGAACAUUCUGGAAAGUAUAACCAUAGAGGGUGAUAGUCCCGUAUGCGAAAAACAAACCUUAGCUAGCAGUAUCCUGAGUAGGGCGGGACACGAGGAAUCCUGUCUGAAUCCGGGUCGACCACGAUCCAACCCUAAAUACUAAUACCAGAUCGAUAGUGCACAAGUACCGUGAGGGAAAGGUGAAAAGAACUGAGGUGAUCAGAGUGAAAUAGAACCUGAAACCAUUUGCUUACAAUCAUUCAGAGCCCUAUGUAGCAAUACAGGGUGAUGGACUGCCUUUUGCAUAAUGAGCCUGCGAGUUGUGGUGUCUGGCAAGGUUAAGCAAACGCGAAGCCGUAGCGAAAGCGAGUCUGAAUAGGGCGCUUAGUCAGAUGCUGCAGACCCGAAACGAAGUGAUCUAUCCAUGAGCAAGUUGAAGCUAGUGUAAGAACUAGUGGAGGACUGAACCCAUAGGCGUUGAAAAGCCCCGGGAUGACUUGUGGAUAGGGGUGAAAGGCCAAUCAAACUUCGUGAUAGCUGGUUCUCUCCGAAAUAUAUUUAGGUAUAGCGUUGUGUCGUAAUAUAAGGGGGUAGAGCACUGAAUGGGCUAGGGCAUACACCAAUGUACCAAACCCUAUCAAACUCCGAAUACCUUAUAUGUAAUCACAGCAGUCAGGCGGCGAGUGAUAAAAUCCGUCGUCAAGAGGGAAACAACCCAGACUACCAGCUAAGGUCCCUAAAUCUUACUUAAGUGGAAAACGAUGUGAAGUUACUUAAACAACCAGGAGGUUGGCUUAGAAGCAGCCAUCCUUUAAAGAAAGCGUAAUAGCUCACUGGUCUAGUGAUUUUGCGCGGAAAAUAUAACGGGGCUAAAGUAAGUACCGAAGCUGUAGACUUGCACACAACUUAGAUUAUUUAAGUUUAGAAUAUGAGAAACUAAGUUAUAUGUUUAGUUAUAUUUUUACUGAUUUUUAUAGAGUAAAGAUAGAAAUAAAACUUAGUAAAAUCAGUAAAAAUAUUCUUAGACUAAAGUUAAGUAGUUUAAGUUGUGUGCAAGUGGUAGGAGAGCGUUCUAUUUGCGUCGAAGGUAUACCGGUAAGGAGUGCUGGAGCGAAUAGAAGUGAGCAUGCAGGCAUGAGUAGCGAUAAUUAAUGUGAGAAUCAUUAACGCCGUAAACCCAAGGUUUCCUACGCGAUGCUCGUCAUCGUAGGGUUAGUCGGGUCCUAAGUCGAGUCCGAAAGGGGUAGACGAUGGCAAAUUGGUUAAUAUUCCAAUACCAACAUUAGUGUGCGAUGGAAGGACGCUUAGGGCUAAGGGGGCUAGCGGAUGGAAGUGCUAGUCUAAGGUCGUAGGAGGUUAUACAGGCAAAUCCGUAUAACAAUACUCCGAGAACUGAAAGGCUUUUUGAAGUCUUCGGAUGGAUAGAAGAACCCCUGAUGCCGUCGAGCCAAGAAAAGUUUCUAAGUUUAGCUAAUGUUGCCCGUACCGUAAACCGACACAGGUGGGUGGGAUGAGUAUUCUAAGGCGCGUGGAAGAACUCUCUUUAAGGAACUCUGCAAAAUAGCACCGUAUCUUCGGUAUAAGGUGUGGUUAGCUUUGUAUUAGGAUUUACUCCGAAAGCAAGGAAACUUACAACAAAGAGUCCCUCCCGACUGUUUACCAAAAACACAGCACUCUGCUAACUCGUAAGAGGAUGUAUAGGGUGUGACGCCUGCCCGGUGCUCGAAGGUUAAUUGAUGGGGUUAGCAUUAGCGAAGCUCUUGAUCGAAGCCCGAGUAAACGGCGGCCGUAACUAUAACGGUCCUAAGGUAGCGAAAUUCCUUGUCGGUUAAAUACCGACCUGCAUGAAUGGCGUAACGAGAUGGGAGCUGUCUCAAAGAGGGAUCCAGUGAAAUUGUAGUGGAGGUGAAAAUUCCUCCUACCCGCGGCAAGACGGAAAGACCCCGUGGACCUUUACUACAGCUUGACACUGCUACUUGGAUAAGAAUGUGCAGGAUAGGUGGGAGGCUUUGAGUAUAUGACGCCAGUUGUAUAUGAGCCAUUGUUGAGAUACCACUCUUUCUUAUUUGGGUAGCUAACCAGCUUGAGUUAUCCUCAAGUGGGACAAUGUCUGGUGGGUAGUUUGACUGGGGCGGUCGCCUCCCAAAUAAUAACGGAGGCUUACAAAGGUUGGCUCAGAACGGUUGGAAAUCGUUCGUAGAGUAUAAAGGUAUAAGCCAGCUUAACUGCAAGACAUACAAGUCAAGCAGAGACGAAAGUCGGUCUUAGUGAUCCGGUGGUUCUGUGUGGAAGGGCCAUCGCUCAAAGGAUAAAAGGUACCCCGGGGAUAACAGGCUGAUCUCCCCCAAGAGCUCACAUCGACGGGGAGGUUUGGCACCUCGAUGUCGGCUCAUCGCAUCCUGGGGCUGGAGCAGGUCCCAAGGGUAUGGCUGUUCGCCAUUUAAAGCGGUACGCGAGCUGGGUUCAGAACGUCGUGAGACAGUUCGGUCCCUAUCUGCCGUGGGCGUAAGAAGAUUGAAGAGAUUUGACCCUAGUACGAGAGGACCGGGUUGAACAAACCACUGGUGUAGCUGUUGUUCUGCCAAGAGCAUCGCAGCGUAGCUAAGUUUGGAAAGGAUAAACGCUGAAAGCAUCUAAGCGUGAAGCCAACUCUAAGAUGAAUCUUCUCUAAGCUCUCUAGAAGACUACUAGUUUGAUAGGCUGGGUGUGUAAUGGAUGAAAGUCCUUUAGCUGACCAGUACUAAUAGAGCGUUUGGCUUAUCUUUAAUAAAGCAU